rnacentral:piRNA from 1 species
UUGGUGGACCCCGAGAGGUCUGUUUCUCC